rnacentral:rRNA from 1 species
GUCCACGCUGUAAACGAUGACGACUAGGUGUGGGGGUUCAGUCCUCUCCGUGCCGCAGCUAACGCAUUAAGUCGUCCGCCUGGGGAGUACGGCCGCAAGGUUGAAACUCAAAGGAAUUGACGGGGCCCGCACAAGCGGUGGAGCAUGUGGUUCAAUUCGAUGCAGAGCGAAGAACCUUACCUGGGCUUGACAUGGCGGAAGUAGGAACCCGAAAGGGGGACGACUCGUUGAGUCGAGAGCCGCCACAGGUGGUGCAUGGCUGUCGU